rnacentral:rRNA from 1 species
AUUGAACGAUGGCGGCAGGCCUAACACAUGCAAGUCGAACGAGUGGCGGACGGGUGAGUAAUGUCUGGGAAACUGCCCGAUGGAGGGGGAUAACUACUGGAAACGGUAGCUAAUACCGCAUACCAUCGGAUGUGCCCAGAUGGGCUUAGCUAGUAGGUGGGGUAAAGGCUCACCUAGGCGACGAUCCCUAGCUGGUCUGAGAGUAUGAACAGCCACACUGGAACUGAGACACGGUCCAGACUCCUACGGUAGGCAGCAGUGGGGAAUAUUGCACAAUGGGCGCAAGCCUGAUGCAGCCAGGCCGCGUGUAUGAAGAAGGCCUUCGGGUUGUAAAGUACUGUCAGCGGGGAGGCGUUACUCGCAGAAGAAGCACCGGCUAACUCCGUGCCAGCAGCCGCGGUAAUAC